UUAUGGUUUAUGGAUUGUAUUUUGCAUUUCCCCCUUUGUGCAAGACAAACAGGGAAUGUGUACUAAUCUAGAAACACACUGGUUAUGUGAAGAGCUGAUUGGUAAAUAUUAAGCUGAUUUUGAAUUCAUACAUACAGAGAGAAGCUUGGACUAUUGAGGAGGAACAUGCACUGAUUAAUGCCUAUCGGGUAUAUGGGAAUAGAUGGGCAGAAAUAGCAAAAGUUCUUUCUAGAAGGAAUCGGGUACUUCUAUUUGUUCUUAGGUUCUUCUCACCUAUAGCUAAAGUCAGAGGCAACAAAAUCAAGUGGAUUAUUGGAGUUACAAGAUACACAAAAUCAUCGGUCAUCUAAAUCUUCUUUUCUAAUAUGAUUGUUGGUGCUGCUCAUGAGGCUAGCCACCGGCUUGGAAGUGAUGAGAGGCAAUCACUGUUGUCAACUUGAAAUGUAUAAUUUUUUAGGAACGAAGAUCUGAAUCACCCUCACGCCUCGAGAGAAAUCAAUCUAGUCAUUCAGGUUCUGGUAUUUCUUUAUAGCUUUCUGAGUUUACUUCGGUCUUUCAUGUAUUUGCUUUCUGUUUGUGCCCCUAUCUAUUUCUGUUUCUUGUGUGCAAGCGCUCCAUUCUGUGUGUGUCUGACUGUGUGGCUUGACUCUCUUGUGUGUGUGGCUUGACUGUCUGUGUGUGUCACUGUGUGUUUGACUGUGUGUGAAUAUUGCAUUUGACUGUGAUGCGUUACUGUGUGUUUGACUGUGUGUGUGUGAUUGUGUGAAUAUUGUGCAUUUGACUGUGAUGUGUGAAUGUGUGAGUAUUGUAUUUUGACAAUGACUGUGUGUGGCUUGACUGUGUGUGUGUGGCUUGUAUGCUUUGUUGAA